ACUUCGAAAACGUACUACUGCAAAGUUUUAAUGCGGUUUUACUACAGUAUUUAUACAUCAUCUGCAUGCAUCGUCAAAUAACAUCGUAUUACUAUGCAUUGUAUAUUUUGACGUUUUACAACACUUUUACUGCAAAGUUUAUUUUCGCAAACAGCUGUUUUAGAAAUUUAAAUUCAACGAGCGUAAAAAUAUCACAAUGGAUAAAAAUAAAGUCAAGAGUGCAAUUAUAAACGUUGUUUUGCGUUUCUCUGAAAAUAAAUGCACAAAUAACAUUCAAAUUUUUCGUAAAAUAUUUAAAUCAAAAUAUAAAAGAGUGUGCAUUUUAAAUAAUUUCAAAUAUAAUAAUGUCAAAAAGCACAUUGGAAGAAAGGUGCCUAAAAAUUCGGGGUUCUGGAAAACUAUUGCGUUCAAACUUUGAAAAGCAUCAAGUGUCUUAGUGAUGCACGAUUUUAUGUAUCACUGCGCAUCGACUACCGAGUUAAUGCGUUUCAAAAUAUGUUGUAAUGUAAUAAAUACUGCGGAUGCUUUAUCGAACUUCGAACUUUGUUCGUAUGCAAAGCAAUUGACGUUUUCGAAGUCAGCCUUACUUUCAGAUCUCAGUUGCAUCACAAAAAACUUACUCCUCAAAUCUUUUCGCGAAAGUCUGUUCAGGGUGACAAAUACUUUAUAGCAGGACUUAGAAGCAUAGCAGCAAAGAAUACUCAAUACUCCAGAGGAUGUAAAAACAUAAUGGAAGCAUACGUAUACCAUAGUACGUACAAUGCAACACGACGCGCAAGACCAGUUCCUAUAGUACUCAUCAAGGAUUCAUCAACCUACAAGGAAUAUGUUCAACAAGCAACAAUAAACAACGGCAAGCAAGGUCAACAACUCCAACAGCAAGAACAACGAUUCAAUAUUUUCCGAAAUCCCUUAAACCAUUUUAGGAAACGAAAUCGAGAAGAUUAAUUUUAUCCAGCAACGAUUGAAAGACAGGAAACUGAACUAAAUCACCAGACACAAGUGCAAUAAUGAUUCCCUCUACAAUGAACCAUUAACUAAUGAACACAGCCGUCAGGAACCGGAUGGCAAUCCAGUAUAUUUAUUAAUAGAGACAGGGUCUAAAGAAAAUUAUGUAAGUACUAAGUAUCCAUAUGCUAAGAAAAUUAAAUUAUCCAAACAAUUAAACACAAAAACUUUGCAUGGGAAUGCAAUAAUUACCCUUAAAAAAGAGAUCAAUUAAUUAGGGUUUGAUAUGGAUAUCUUGGAGCUAGAUAAACUCUAGGAUUAUAAUUUCAUAAUAGGCAUUUAAGGAUUAAACUAAAUGUAAGCAGAUAUCAACAUUUUCGACUACUCCAUUAGCUUCUUCCAAAUAAAACCUAAUCUACACUGUAAGAAAACAAGAAUAUGAAGAUAUUAAAACUCUAAUGCAAAAUAAUCAUAAUAAUGAACUAUUACCAUAUGUUACAACCAUAGAAACAAAAAUUAGGACCGAAACAAAGGAACCGGUAUGGGUAAGACAAUAUCCCUAUCCACAGACUGAGAGAGGAUUCGUAGAAGAGGGAAUUAAUAAAUAAUAAAAAAUAAAAUAAUACUAGCAAAAGCCCAUAUAAUUCCCCUAUUUGGACAGUCUCAAAGAAAGGAACCGAUGAGGCAAAAAAAUCAAAAAGAAAAAUUCAGAAACUGAAUAAAGUCACCGAAAACUAGAUAAUAAAAGAGAAUUCCACAAAAUACUAGAAGAAGUUCUCACUUAUGUUUACUCAUUUUUAACUCAACUCAUGAGUGACAAUGAGUCAAUAUUUAAAAGCAUAGCGUCAAAAGCACUGUACGAAAAACUACAUAUGUAUAUAGCAUACAGAGAAAUGUAGUAGAUCAACUUUUUGUGAAAAAGUAUUUGUAACGGAAAACAUUAAUGAAAACUUUCAAGAACCACCUCAGAGGUUGCAAUGUAGGCGCGCUAUCGAUCUUUUUUGGGUGUUCGGUUCCCCAGGAGGCCUAUUUUCACCCUUUUUAUAUAUACAGUUUUAAAUCAAUCUACUUAUUAUAAAAAAUAUGACUAGACAAAAAUAAAUAUAUAAAAUCAGGUACAAUUCAUGAAUAUUAAUUACAUUAAAAAUAUAACAUUAACAAUAUAUGUCAAAACAAUCAACUGGAAACUCUUUAAACAAAAGCCAAAAUAAAUAUAAAAAAAAUCAGAUUCCAUUGUAUGUAUACAUUAACAAUACAAGUCAAAACAAUCAACUUGUAAUUAUUAAGCAGAAACUAAAAUAAAUAUAAAAAAUCAGGUACAAUUCAGGAACAACAACAGUUAUAUUCAAAACAAUCUACUAAGUAAUAAAUAAUAUUUACAAAAUAUUCUAAAUCACCCACAGCGAAAUACUUAUUAAAAACCCUAUCAAAGGAAUAGUGGUGGAAAGAAGGGUCCUAUAUCCUAUCUACGUCCACAUUUACCUCGAUUUGUAUAUUUUGAAAUGAGGUAGAAUUGGAAUUUGAAAAGUUUGCCAAGAGGUAUUUUGAACCAAAGCGUCGUUGCAGGCGCUUUUGAGGGAGCUAUUAGAAAAUGACUCACACUGGUCAACUGGCAAGAGUUCUACACAACGAAUAUAUCCUAUACCCCAGGCUUGUCUGAAAAGAUAUGAGAAACGCUGCGGAGUUAUUAUCACAUCUCACUGGGCGCCCAUUUACAACUACUUUAUUUUUUUUUUAUUUUCUAAGCAGUUUCGUGUACUUUUUAAAAUGUGAGGAGAAUCAAAGAAGUAAAUGACUUCCGAGUCAUUCACUUCGAAAUAGGGCCUUUCUUUACAUACUCCUUAUAACCUAGCAAAAUUAACAAAAUUUGACCAUUGGUUGCUAACUAUUUGGCAGGGACGCAAUCCAAUACCCUGGAGUUGACCUAUGGCUUCGAAUAUAUUUUUUUUCAUAAUAUCUCCUUUGCAAGCUUUGUGCACAAAAAAAUAUGCUAAAGGUGGGUCCAAGUUUCUCCACCAAUACCUUGGACGAAAAGUGUUAAAACACUAGAAGCUCCUCGAGAGGUACGAUUUUCAUCACCGUAAUCCUCCAACCCAAUAAUCCAGUCCCUAUUUCUCUCAUACUGAAGGUGAAUUUUCAGAGACAUUUCGUCACAGCAUAUCGAAACAUAUCUCUGUGCGUCAGUGAAACCACGGCUUCUCAAUUCCAGGGCUUUAAUGCUGCUAAAAUUGCAGCCAGCGAUACGUGGCCAACCCUGAACAAAUUGUUCGAGGGUCACUUGCGAUGGCCAAUUAAAAAUGGGCUGUAAAUACCUGAACGCAAUAGGUGAUAAAAAUUUUACAUCCAGAGCUAAUGUUUUUAAUUCCCUAUCAUAUCUAUAACGCUUCGAAGUACGGGGUGCAUUUUUUAAACAAUUUCUCACACAUAUCGCAAGAUGUGAAGGAAGUUUGCCGCAUAGCUCUGAAAUUUAUCUAUUUUCUUCCUGCCCUACUAUAGACAAAUUUUUAUUAUUUUCUAAAAUUUCUAUUUUAUUCUCUAAAGCUCUCACCUUAUUGCGUAAAAAUUUUAUUUCCUGCGAUUUUUUGUCUAACUUCUCCCGAUACAUUCUUUUUCUAGGUGUCCCUUCUGUUAAAUAUUCAUCUGCUUGCGUUUGCCUACUAUUUGCCCAAGUGUUAACUAUUUGAGAGUAACCUAAAGAGGAAGAAUAUGUAUGAUCUUCAUUAUAUAGGGGUUGAAGGGAUUUACCCAAAGUCUCAACUUCAAACAUAUUAGUGUUUGAAGUCGAGACAGUUCUAAUUGGAGAAGAGCUAAGAUGCAUCGGGUUAAAAUCUGCACUACCUAAUUCUAUAAUGUCUUGUUCGUGUUGGUCAAAUACACUACCUACUUGUCCACUACAACCUAUUGCCUUAUCUACUCUAGCUGAUCUGGAGAUAAGCCGUCCCUUCCUCAUCUUUAAAGAGAAAUGUCUUUGGCACGCAAAUAAAUAUUUAGCCGUCGGAUUUGUUACGUCCAACAGCUUGAUCCAUUCGUGCCGCCUAAUUGAAAUUAAACAAAAAAUACGUACAUUAACUAAACUAGUAAACUAACAAUUUAAAAAUAAACAGUUGCAUCAAAAAUAUCACAACGACAAUACAAUAUUAGAAACAAAACUAUUAAUUUAAUCUUUGAUUUAUAUGAUUUAUGCUUUUGAAUGAACUAUAUGAAAGAAUUAUAAUAACUAUUAUAAUUUAAAGAGUCGGUUAAACAUCUGCAUACAGUUUCUAAUAGUUUGGCGGGGUACUAGUUAUGACGUAUAUAUAUAGUUACAAUAAAAUAGUAGUAGUAUUUAUACACGCAUGUUUGUAAAAUAAAUAUGAAUUCAUUAUAACGUUGAGAACAAAUAAAUUGGUUGUCUCUAUUUCUAUUACGUUUAUAUUUAUCAUAUAUACAUAUGUAUGUAAAGCAAGUGGCUUCAUAUUGUUCAAGAUCGAAAAAAUAAAAACACGCGGGUUAAUAUAAACAAAUACAUGAAUUGUUUACUAUUUUAUUGUCAAAUAAGCGUAAGCCAAAUAAUUAGUUCACUUUGUUGAAUACACUUUGACAUACUACACUAUAAACAAAUACUAUCGAAUUAAUUUUUUAACAUUUAACAACACGAUUUUAAAACUUCACUUUUUUUAUAAAACCACGAUUUAGGACGACCCUAUUCACUUCUUGUUCACUAAUUUGCACUAACUUUACAUAUUUAUUUACUUACGAUAAUAUUAUGUACAUAUUUAUAUACAUACGAUAAUAUUAUGUACUUAAUUAUAUUAUUUUUCUUUCUGCAAGGCAUCCUAUACAAAAUCAAACAACAAAUAUUAACAAAUUUAAUUAAUUAAUGUUACUAUACUUACAUACAUACGCUGAAUAUCUCUUUGAUCGAUGAUUUAAUUUUCACUAAAAACAAAUUUAAAAUCACUAUUUACAUUUUCCUGAGCUUCUUAAGCUUAAAAAAAUGUCCGUUGAAAUGAUUUGACACAUUACACGGCUGCACGAAAUACAUAGUUUUUACACAAAUAUUAUAUGAACAUUUUUUUAUAAAAUUGGAAACAUUUAAUAAUAUAUUGAUAAAAUAAUUAAUAUUUUGGACAAAACUGAUUAAAUUUAAUAUUUAGGAAUUUAAAUAAUCGAAAAAUAUUUGAAUAUUUUAUAAAAAUAUUGUUAAAGUUAUAAAUUUUAAAACCUCACACGGCAACACACUAUAGCAGAUUUGAGGCAAUUGAACGUUUUAGUAGUAGAAUAUUUGGGGGCAACCCGUACCAAGUGACUAAUUAGUAGCAGAAUAUUUGGGGGCAACCCGAACCAAGUGCCUAAUUUGUAGUAGAAUAUUUAGGGGCAACCCGUACCAAAUGCCUAAUUUGUAGUAGAUUUUUGCGUAUGUGUUAGUGAAAAAUGAAGGAUUGGUUACUUGUAGGUUUAUGCAAUGACCAUAACUGAACCCAGUCAUUCGACAUCAAACGCUCAAGUCGAGCAGUUGAAUUCUACAAUUUUAGAAAUCACGGAUGAAGAAAUAUUCAAAUAUUCAGUAAAAGAAUUUAAGCAUGUGGACAUAUUUUUUGAAUGAAAUAAAUUUAGUGAAAUCAAGGACAUAUUAAAAGAAAAACAAGAACGCAUUUUAGCAUACCACAAUAAAAAACUACAAAAUGAAAUGUACACUCCAGGUGAAGAAGUAUGCGAGAAACAAAAUCGUCGCAAAAAAUUUACAUGCCGCUACAUUAAACAGACAACCAAGGAGAAUUGUGAGGACACAAUUUAAACAACGAAGGGGAGAAUUGUACAUAAAGAUAAUCUACGAAGCAAUGUACACUAGAGUGAUUAAAAAAAAAAAAAAUUUUUGAAUCACUCUAAUGUACACCCAGACAAUCCUGAUACUAAACCUAAUGUUCAUAAUGACAGCUCAGAUAAUAAUAGCGAGCCUGCAUGACAAGAAAUACUUACUGACAGAAAUAGAUCCGAAAUACGUAUACCGAAAAGGAGAGUACCUGUUUCACAUGACUAACCUAACAACAAUACGAAAUACAAGAAACUUUAGAAACACAAAUUCAUCAAGACGUAACUGACGAAACAUUACUAAACCGCAUAAAGUUCCUUAGAAAUCAGUUGCUAAACAACGACCGCCGUAGAAGGUCAAUAGAUAUUUUAGCCUCAGUAUUAAAAUUAUUACUGGAGUACCGAUCAUGAUGAUCUAAUUGAAAUUAAAAUAACUUUAAACUAUUUAAUAAAAAAUAUUAAUUUACAAAGAUUUAAUAUUAAAGCAUUAAAACAUCAGACAUUGAUCCAAGAAAUUCAUGAGGAACUAUUAGAUUUGACCACUAUAAUAAACUUUGCUAACAACGGAGAUUUUUACUCUGUUGCAAUUAAUAUAGAAGAAAUAAAAAUAAUAAUUAAAACUGAACAAAAUGUACCAGUUAUAAAUAUCCUACAACAUGCAAAAAUUCAUAUACUAAGAUUACCCGAUACCUUUAUAGUUUAUAGUAGUAUACAAAAAUCCAAUAAUAAAUACUAUAAAAUUUCUCAAACAUUUAAAAUCACUCCACUAAUGUCUAAACAAGGAAAACUUCAAUUAUAUGAAGUAAAUAAAAGAUGUAAAAAUACUUAUACCCCAGUAUCAUACUGUAACAAUAAUUUGCAAAUAUAUAUGUAAACAAAAGGAUAAAGACAAUUGAACUAUCCCUAUAUUUUAAACCAAGCUCAUUGUAACAUAAUCCAGGAAAAGAAUUACCCCGUAAUAGAUUUAAGUCAUGGGAAUAUUGUAAUUGAUGGAAAACACAAAGUCAAUAACAAAACUAUGAAAGGAACUAACUUAGUACAGUUCAACAUUUCAGUAGAGAUUCAGAAUACUAUCAUAAUCAGGAUCAAAGAAUUUAUUGAAUUACAAGGAUAUGAAAAAUUGCAUGUAUUAGAAAUACCCAGUCCCAAUCCAAAUAUCAAUUUGAUAAUGUUCAAAAAUUAAAUAAAUUUAUAAUCGCUUUCGAAGAACAUCCAAUUAGAACAUAAUAAUAAUAAUUACACUGGUAAACACUGUUUUUGUCACAUGAA